AUUGAACGCUGGCGGCAGGCCUAACACAUGCAAGUCGAACGGUAACAGGAAGCAGCUUGCUGCUUCGCUGACGAGUGGCGGACGGGUGAGUAAUGUCUGGGAAGCUGCCUGAUGGAGGGGGAUAACUACUGGAAACGGUAGCUAAUACCGCAUAAUGUCGCAAGACCAAAGAGGGGGACCUUCGGGCCUCUUGCCAUCGGAUGUGCCCAGAUGGGAUUAGCUUGUUGGUGGGGUAACGGCUCACCAAGGCGACGAUCCCUAGCUGGUCUGAGAGGAUGACCGGCCACACUGGAACUGAGACACGGUCCAGACUCCUACGGGAGGCAGCAGUGGGGAAUAUUGCACAAUGGGCGCAAGCCUGAUGCAGCCAUGCCGCGUGUAUGAAGAAGGCCUUCGGGUUGUAAAGUACUUUCAGCGGGGAGGAAGGGAGUAAAGUUAAUACCUUUGCUCAUUGACGUUACCCGCAGAAGAAGCACCGGCUAACUCCGUG
rnacentral:rRNA from 1 species